ensembl:lncRNA
CAGGAAUACAAGCGGCUUUGACCCUCGCUCAAAUCAUACAACGCACAGGGCGCACCGGGCCAGCCUGGCCUCAACAUGGAUUAUUGAUACCGAAACGCUUCAAGUUUACCUCGGCCUUUUGGAAUCAUGAAUUUGGGGAAAAAAAGAAAUGAAUGAAAAGAAUGAAAAGAUGUCCUGAGGCCUCGGUUGGCAGCGGGUGAAAGAGAAGGCGAGAAGACAUCCACACAAGUGGGACAUGGAAGCAGAUGGGACCCCGAGUGUAGUGUUGUUCAGGGCCCAGUCUGCAGUCUUGCUAUGGAGACACAACGGAAGCACACGUCGUUGAGGUUAAUCAACCAAUCAAGGAGUGAGCAGGAUUAAGCUCCGCUAAGGCCACUACUUUGAGACCAUGAGGAGCAGUUGCUUUCCGUAUUUAUACCAACGAGGAAAUAGAGGCAGGCCUGAGUGCAGACACCAUACAUUUCUGUUUAUAUCUCCACUGAACCGGAGCUGUCGAUGGGUUCUGCAAUCAUGAUGGAUGGAAAUACACCAUUGGUAUGGAAUCUGGUGGUGGGGGAGAACUGAAAAAAGAGAAGGCCAAGGAAGCGGAGGAGGCGUCAACCAAUAACAACGCAGCAGAACGUCCAUUAACCAUAUAGGCAAAGAUUAGGCCUCUGUAUCUCCUCUAGGUGGAUUAGGGGAGAGGAAAUGGACAGACACUUACACCAAGGAAGGGGAAAAGCGGACACCAUUUUCCCUCUCUGCAAGGUGAACUGAUACUUCAUCGCUGAAAUUGCGUGACAGUCAUUGUGGAAAUAAAUGGCUUGUUCACGGAUGUGUUUAGGGCUAUAUAUGCUCUGCAAGUGAGCAAAUAUCAAACAUCAAAUACAGGUCAUGUGUGACCAUCAUUUCUUAAUAACACAAAUUCAACCCACACUGCUGAAUCAUUUUGUAUUUUUUUUUCACCAUCCAUUAAUUCUUCACAUUGCAAAUAGUUUGUAUAUUACAAAUAUCCUUGAACAACAACGAGCAAACAGCAAACACAAAAAUAAUUUGAAUAAUAAAAAACGUGAACAUGCGCCGUCCCCUUCCGG